UACGUAGGGGGCAAGCGUUGUUCGGAAUUACUGGGCGUAAAGGGCGCGUAGGCGGCACAGCAAGUCGGGCGUGAAAGCCCGGGGCUCAACCCCGGAAUGGCUUUCGAAACUGCUGAGCUAGAGUACAGAAGGGGCAACCGGAAUUCCCAGUGUAGCGGUGAAAUGCUUAGAUAUGACAUAGAACACCGAUUGCGAAGGCAGCUUGCUAAACAAUUAUUGACGCUGAGGCACGAAAGCGUGGGGAUCAAACAGG
rnacentral:rRNA from 1 species